rnacentral:rRNA from 1 species
AAUGAACGCUGGCGGUAGGCUUAACACAUGCAAGUCGAGCGGCAGCACGGGCUAGCUUGGUCCCUGCGUGACGAGACCCGCACAGGGGAGCAAUGCCCGGAAGCCUGUUGGCUGGAGGAGGGAGACUACCGGACAAAGGACCGACUACUACCAUCGCACCGUUACACCAAGGAAUCCUACCUUCAGGAACUCUUGUCUCUCUAUGAGACCCGCAUGCGAUCCCAUUAGCUAGUGGGUGAGGUAACGGCUCACCCGAGCAACCAUGGCUAGGGGAACUGAUAAGCUGAACCCCCGCACUGUGUACUGAGACACCAGACACACUCCUAGGUAGUCGCAGCGGUGAUGAAUAUUGGUCAGUGCGCGAGAGCCUGAACCAGCCAAGUCGCGUGAAGGAUGACUGUCUUAUGGAUUGUAAACUUCUUUUAUACGGGAAUAACAAGAGCCACGUGUGGCUCCCUGCAUGUACCCUAUGAAUAAGCAUCGGCUAACUCCGUGCCAGCAGCCGCGGUAAUACGGAGGAUGCGAGCGUUAUCCGGAUUUAUUGGGUUUAAAGGGUGCGUAGGCGGCCUGUUAAGUCAGAGGUGAAAUCUAAGAGCUUAACUCCUAAAUUGCCAUUGAUACUGGCGGGCUUGAGUGUAGAUGAGGUAGGCGGAAUGCGUGGUGUACUGCUGGAAUGCAUAGAUAUCACGCAGAACUCCGAUUGCGAAGGCAGCUUACUAAAGUACAACUGACGCUGAAGCACGAAAGCGUGGGUAUCAAACAGGAUUAGAUACCCUGGUAGUCCACGCUGUAAACGAUGAUAACUGGGCGUAUGCGAUAUACAGUAUGCUCCUAAGCGAAAGCGUUAAGUUAUCCACCUGGGGAGUACGGCCGCAAGGUUGAAACUCAAAUGAAUUGACGGGGGCCCGCACAAGCGGUGGAGCAUGUGGUUUAAUUCGAUGAUACGCGAGGAACCUUACUCCGUAUUGACAUCCAGAGAACUUUCCAGAGAAAGUCGGCUUUCCUUCGGGAACUCUAUGUAGAUGCUGCCUGGUUGUCUGCCGCUCGCGCCGGGAGGUGUCUGCUUAAGUCCCGCAACCAGCGCAACCCCUGUCUACCGUUGCCAUCCAGUAAUGCUGGGAACUCAAAGGAGACUGCCGUUGAUAAGGCGUGAGGAAGGUGGGGAUGACGUCAAAUCAUCAUGGCCCUUACGUGUAGGGCGACACACGUGUUACAAUGGCAUGUACAAAGGGCAGCUACCUGGCGAGAGCAAGCGAAUCUCUAAACCUUAUCACAGUUCGGAUCGGAGUCUGCAAUUGGAUUCCAGGAAGUGGAUUCACUAGUAAUCGCGCAUCAAUCAUGGUGCGGUGAAUACGUUCCCGGGCCU